UUUACGAGAGUGCGCCUCAC
rnacentral:misc_RNA from 1 species